GCUAUCAUGGACCAUGAACACACACGCAAGUGCGCCCACACCGCAUUCAUUCAAGUUUAUCGAUCACUUCCAGUGGCUGCCUUGAGCAGUCCCUACCCCCGCCCUCACCUCUCUCCACGGUAAAGUCUGUUCAAGCCUCUCGUCACUCGCGUCAUGCGCGAUGUGGUCACACUCUUUAUCGAGGCAAGCGUAGCGAAGGGUGAGUGGCAGGCAGCCCUCAGUGCACUGAAGCUCCCUCGAGCCAGUCAGAGCAGCAGUAGCAGCACCAGCGCCAGCACCAGUGCCCGCUCGUCGUUUGCGGCGGAGGUGGCCUCGAACCUCUUUCGUCUCUCCAGCGCCCUCUCCAGCAAGGGGGAGUGGAUGGCUGCGCUUGCGGUGCUGCGCGAUGCCCCGUUGCCGUUUGCCGCGCGGGGGCGCAAACCGUACUCGUCUGCGUAUCUGGCAGCGCGCGUCCGGGCAUACCAGCAUGUCCUGACGGCCUGCUGCAGCGGCAGCUCAGCAGCAGCUGUAGGCAACGCUGCAGCAGUCACACGACCGACUGCAUCUGCGCGUGCUGGGAGGGGCGGAACGGAAGAUAUGUCCUUUGAGUGCGCUUUGGCGCUAGCCGAAGAGGCGUUUUGCGUGUUUGGCAGCGCGCCAGGCCUCUGCGGACGGGGCAAGUCGCCGUGUGAAGAACCGGCAGGUCGAGCCUUGACGAAGCCGCUCGUUGCCCCUGUAGCCGCAUCCUCUGUCGAGUCGGAUGCUGGAACGGCAUGUGUCGAGGACCUCUUGCGAUGGUGUCGCGCUGAGCUUCCCCGGCGCCGAUCCUGCACCGGCGUAACCACAUUAGAGCAAACAGAAGCCGCCAUACAGCAGCUGACGGCGCUAUCGGACGCGGCUCUGCGCGGCAUCUCAGACGCACACGUGGUCGCAUCACACAGACCUUCGAGCGAGCUUGGAAAUAAAACGGUCUCCGACCCGCACGCCGAUUCACUGUAUGCGCGAGUCGCCUCGGAUGUGCAGCGCGCAGAGGAUGACCUUACCAAGCUACUGGCCAGCAACAGUCAAGCCGUGGAUGCCUGGGCAACCUCGCUCACCUUUCUACGGCGACUUCCGGCGGAGUGCGUUUCAGGACACCUCUUCACCGCCUUUUUGCGGCACCUCCUCCAGCAUAACCGACGAGGCGAAGUAGCUCAACUGGUGCGCACGCUCGUAUUGCUGCACAGGAGUGGUGACAGCGCGCAAGGGGCUUCACCAGCAUUGACGCGCACGCCACCGUCACGUGCCACGGCGAGGGUGCUGCGUUUGGACAGUGUCGUCAUAAAGGUUGUGGCGGAGGCGUGUCACCGGCUGCGGCGCAGUGACCUGGCGGCUGAGCUUCUUCUCGACACAGAAGCGCGCGCUGCGAUGACACCGUCGGCAGCUGUGCCAUUGGUUAUGACGCUGCGUGAUGCCGGCGCUUACUCGUCGGUGCUGCUCUGGUGGGAACUUUUGCGGAGAGAAGAGUCUGCCCUGCGUUACCCGCUUCUGAAGCACGCGAAGCUCAGCAGCUACGUGGCCUCGUGUGUCUUGCGCAACACCACCGCGAGGGAGGGCGGGGCCAUCGCAGAGGCGCAGCAGGCGGCCUCCUCCUCCGCGGCGAAAGUUACGCGUGCCAGGUCCGCCGCUCUCUGGACUGGAGACUGGCGAAGCGCUCUCGAUGCCUUUCGUGACGCAGCGGCGCCAGCGCACGAUCCUGCUCUCGUCCUUCUUUUUCAGCUGCGCCUGCUUCGGCAGGCUGGGCAGUGGGAAGCUGCUGUGCAGCUUUUCAACGCGUUCUGUCAGACACAUCCCGGCAUGCUGAGAUCCAAGCAGUCUCCCUCCGAUCUCGCUGGCCAGGUGCACGACGGCAGACGCGACGGCCAGCAUCGCUGGCGCACCGACCGUGAGGCCCCCUGUCCGGCCCCAGGUAAGGAGCGCGCUAGUGCCAUGAAAAGCGCAUGCGCUGUCCUGACGCAAGAGCACGCGGAGCAGUGGAUUCCAUCGCCUGUGCUUGUCCACCUGAAGCAGCAGGUACAGGAUUUGAAGCCAUGAAGGUGGAACGCAAGGUGGAGCGGCAGCGUAUUCCCGCUCUCACUGGCCUUUGUCGCAUUGAGGAGUGCGCGCGUUCGCAUUUGGCUCUUUCCCCUUCUGCUGUUCAACGGAGCUCUUGGCCGUGGAGUGCGUCAGCAAAGAAGGCUGUCGCGUUAGUCGAGGUGGCCGUAGGGCGAUGACGCACACAGUGGCACCGCAGAGGUAUGCAAUGUACGCAUUGGCUAGGAGAAAAGAGGCCACUCUGAAAGCUUAUAAACGUGUAUGCCUCGAUGUGUGGCAGCCACCUUUUCAACUGCCGUAGUAGGCACACGCCCCCUUCCCACACGCACGCCCUACUCCCUCUGCUGCGUAUGGCGGUUGUGAUCAAACAUCUAUGCGAUACAGGCAUCUGUCGUGUCGUUAUCGACUCUCUUUGACGUCGUUCUCCGCUCCAUCAUCUCCUAAAGACCCACGCUCGCACCGCCUUCCUCGAUGCACGCCUCUCUUCGCGCCUCAG
rnacentral:misc_RNA from 1 species